UACAGAGGGCGCGAGCGUUGUCCGGAAUCACUGGGCGUAAAGGGCGCGUAGGUGGCCACUAUAAGGCCGUGGUGAAAGUUCGGGGCUCAACCCUGAAUCUGCCGCGGCGACUGUAGGGCUUGGGCACCGUAGAGGCAGAUGGAAUUCCGGGUGUAGCGGUGAAAUGCGCAGAUAUCAGGAGGAACACCGGUGGCGAAGGCGGGUCUCUGGGCAACAACUGACGCUGAGGAGCGAAAGCGUGGGGAGCGAACAGG
rnacentral:rRNA from 1 species